AAUGAACCUGGUUUGACAAAGUUAUUUCCAGGUCAGUCUCCCAAAGCAACAGAAAUAAAAGCAGAGAGAGGACAAGAUGGCGGAGGAGUAGGGGGACACGCUCGCCCUCUCCCACAAACACAACAAAAAAAGCACAUCUACAGAAGAAAUGACUCGCACAGAACAACAACCAAUCGCUGGCAGAGGAACCUAAACUCCAAUAACGGCAAGAAAUUCGUGACAUUAUUGGGCAGAACGGGAGAAAAGAGGAGAGUGAGAGAAGGUGAAUCCGAGCGGGACGGGCGCUCCCGAAAGGGAACUGCGGAGGAGAAAGGGAUCCCGCACCCUGGAAAGUCUCCUACCGGGGGAAAGAUCAAACGAACCGGAGGAAUCUCCAGAUGCAGAGAAGAGUGUAGCAGUAAGUCGGAGUACGGAAAAACGAUCAAGAACCCAACGGACCAUCUGAACUACGGGCACAGUCACCAAAAAUUGAGACGCCUGGGUGGGGGCUGGGCACCGAAUCCUCGGCUCCAGAGGUUAGUCCCCGGGAAAGGGCCGGGGGACGCCUGGGUGGGGGCUGGGCACCGAGUCCUCAGCUCUGAAGGUUGGUCCCCGAGAGGGGGCCGGGGGACGCCUGGGUUGGGGCUGGGCACCGAGACCUCGCCUCCGAAGGUUAGUCCCCAAGAAAGGGCCGGGGGACGCCUGGGUGGGGGGGCUGGGCACCGAGACCUCGGCUCCAGAGAUUAGUCCCCGGGCUAGGGGGGCGGGGAAGAGCGGAAACUGCUUGGGAGGUCUCUAAACCAUUUGACGGGGCAGAGACUACCUGGGAGACUAGAAAACAAAGCUGUUGCAGAGGAAGGGAGCAAUACUCUAGGGGCGGGGAAGUGGAAAGCCGCCUCAGAGGGAACCUGGGAGAAGAGCCUGGUCUGCGCCCGUGCUGGGGAGGGGAGAGAAGAAGGGGUGGGUCCCCAUAGAAUACCCCCCACGCCACAACAAGCUUACAGGCCCGCUAGCUAGCAGAAAGCUGUGCUUGCCAGUGCAUUCCCUCCCCCCACCCCC
rnacentral:lncRNA from 9 species